GACGGAGGAUGCAAGCGUUAUCCGGAAUUAUUGGGCGUAAAGCGUCUGCAGGUGGCAGUUCAAGUCUGCUGUCAAAGACCGGGGCUUAACUUCGGAAAGGCAGUGGAAACUGAACAGCUAGAGUAUGGUAGGGGCAGAGGGAAUUCCUGGUGUAGCGGUGAAAUGCGUAGAGAUCGGGAGGAACAUCAGUGGCGAAGGCGGCCAUCUGGGACAACACUGACGCUGAGGCACGAAAGCGUGGGGAGCAAACAGG
rnacentral:rRNA from 1 species